CAACAGCUUCAACAGCGAACUAGGACAUAUAUCAACAGAAAACGAAUUAAAGCAAAUGUCAUACAUAAAACAAAAAUAUGCAUGUGUUAAUUUGCCUCCGCUGCAUUUCUGUGGAUUCUUAACUUUUUUAGGUUACGUUUAGGAUUUUCCGUUACUAAUCUUCAAAUACGAAAAACAUUUUGACCGGUGUUCACAACAUUUUAAGGUUGAUGGCAUACAUUCUGGUGUGUAUACAAUUAACAUACGUCCUUGCAUUUAAUUACCAAUAUAUAUUUAUAUAAACUAACAUU
rnacentral:lncRNA from 1 species